rnacentral:rRNA from 1 species
GAACGUUGAAGACGACGACGUGGAUAGGCCGGGUGUGUAAGCGCAGCGAUGCGUUGAGCUAACCGGUACUAAUGAACCGUGAGGCUUAACCUUACAACGCCGAAGC